rnacentral:misc_RNA from 1 species
UCUCCGUAGGUGAACCUGCGGAGGGAUCACUACAGGCUUGCAAAAGCUCUGAAACCACUGUUUAUCUACCUGAAUCUGCUUCGGCGGGCGGCCCCAGGGCGGUGCCGUUGCCGAAAGGCGCCCGCCGAAGACCCCUAAACUCUAUCGUCUUGAGAAUCUCUGAGUAUCAUAUUAAACAAAAAAACAACUUUCAACAACGGAUCUCUUGGCUCUG